rnacentral:lncRNA from 1 species
GCUCCUGAUCCAUGCUUGUUUUUCAUUUCUGACAGACUGGCCUUGAGCCUGACAUAGCUGAGUCAUCAAGCCUGUAAGAACUUUGUUUCUUAUUGGUAACCUGUUACCCUAAAGCUCUGUCCCAUGUAACAUGGUGCCUGUUAAAGUGUUUGUUACUGUCAUGAGGUGUACAUCUCUUCUUAAUGCACAAUGAUUUCACUUCCACAGGAAGAGGGACUGCAACUUUUGAUGGGACAGCAAUAGCCAGUGCGGUUGUUAAAGAACUCGCUGAAACCAUAAAGUGUCGAACACUGUUUUCUACACACUAUCAUUCAUUAGUAGAGGAUUAUUCUAAAAAUGUUUGUGUGCGCCUAGGACAUAUGGUAUGUGGAAUCAACCAGACAUUUUUUUCUAUUGGCAGUAGACAGUAGAGCUGUGAUAAAACAAACUCUUCUUUCUUGAAGGCAUGCAUGGUGGAAAAUGAAUGUGAGGAUCCCAGCCAGGAGACCAUUACUUUCCUCUAUAAAUUCAUUAAGGGAGCUUGUCCUAAGAGCUAUGGCUUUAAUGCAGCAAGGCUUGCUAAUCUUCCAGAGGAAGUUAUUCAGAAGGGACACAGAAAAGCAAGAGAAUUUGAGAGGAUGAAUCAGGCAUUACAACUAUUUCGGUAAUUAUAUCAGUAUAAUUUCCCUAUAACUGACUUUAAAUAAAGACUUGGAAGGCUGGUAUGGUACAGAGACAAAAAGAAAUAAUUCGUUUUUCUUCUCUCUCUCUCUCUUUUUUUUUAAGGGAAGUUUGUCUGGCUAGUGAAAGGCCGACUGUAAACAGUGAAGCUAUCCAUAGGUUGCUGGCUUUGGUUAACCAAUUGUAGACUACAUUGGAAGCUGAGUUGACUUUUGAAAAAGGUGGUAAAUUCAGACAACAUUAUGAUCUAAUAAACUUUAUUUUUUAAAAAUGAC